UAAAAAUAUGAGGAAACCGACCUAGAAUAAGAGGAAACCAUUCAAAUAUAAAUAUUAGGAAACAGAUACAAAAUAUUCGGAAAUCCCUCAACAGUUCAAAACUUUUGAGGGAUUUCCUCAAAUUUCUAAAAAAAGGAGAUUCCUCUGAAGUAAUUUUAGAUCAAUUUCAGUGUUGAGGGCUGAGACGUUUUCAUGUCACCAUUCUUUAGAAUAGAUAUUAUAGAAGUCAUACAAACAAUUUUUUAGGAAAAAUAUUUAAUAUUUUAAUAGUCAGACAAUGUUUUUGGAUAUUCAAGAAAACAUUGCAUAACUAUUUAAAGAUUAAAUUUUUCUUUAAAAUAUGUUAUUUAUUAAACUUCUAAUAUAUCUAUUCUAGGGUUUAGGGGUAGCGUCGGGUCAUUUUAAAUACUUAACUGCGAAUGUGGAGACUUGAAGAUCGUUUUGCGGGCCUCAUGGCAGCCCUGCACUCUCUCCCUCUUUUAAACUGACCGCUCACAUGGUUGAGUUGGCCAGAUAUUCCCGCCUAAACGAAGUGACCGCAAGCUGAGUAUAAAAGAGUGGUACAGAUGAGUCAGCCUAUUCAGUUGAAAACAGGUGCCGGAGCUAUGAAAUUCACCACCACACUAUUCUUAGUUUUCAGCCUUUUCGAAUUCGUGUUUGGAGCUCCGAAACCAAACCCAGAACCGUCGCCUGAACCAGAACCCUUGGCAGAACCAGAACCCUUGGCAGAACCAGAACCCUUGGCUGAACCCAAUUGGACCUAUUUCGGCUAUCGUGGACAUAAUCAUGGUCAUCACUUUACUAGAUAUGGGCAUCUGAAAAAUCUGUAUCCAUUUGCAAAAUCUAAAAGAAAAAACUAAAGAUGAUUAGCUUGCUAACGGUAAUCUUACCUUCAUAAGAACACAGAUCAUCGAUAAAAAAUCAGCAGUAAAUCUGAGUCUGGGCAACUCUUUUAUUCUUGCCAACUAUAUUUUCUGUCUUUUAUUUCUAUACUUUUUUUGUUAAUUAAUUUUUGAGUAAUAAAUUUUAAGAAAAAAAAUAUGUGUAUGAGAUUUUCAAAGCUUAACUGUACAUUCAUACAUGCUUAAAUACUCGUAAUCUAUAUAAUAAAGCCUAUGAAUAAA